rnacentral:rRNA from 1 species
GACGAACGCUGGCGGCGUGCUUAACACAUGCAAGUCGAGCGGUAAGGCCCUUUCGGGGGUACGACGAGCGGCGAACGGGUAGAGUAACACGUGGGUGACCUGCCCUCAGCUCUGGGAUAAGCCUGGGAAACUGGGUCGUAAUACUGGAUAUGACUCCACGGUGCAUGUCGUGGGGUGGAAAGCCUUGUGCGGCUGAGGAUGGGCCCGCGGCCUAUCAGCUUGUUGGUGGGGGUGAGG